GUGCCUGAGUUGUGUUGCGCACUCGCGAUGGUGCAUUAAAUUAAUCAAAAGCAGCUGUGUUAUAUUUAAACUCGCCCCGAGUGCACGCAUUCCGUUCCGUCAUCAACCGUCACUUUGCCUCAGAGAUCAGUGUCGCUGUUUGCGUUUAAACACUGAGUCUACGAUUUUUUUCAUCUAUAAAUCGGCUCAUACGCGACUAAAGGUUGGUCCAGACUGCUGAGUUGUUGUUUGAAAUCAUUUUGAAUGUUUUGUUGUGACUCGUGUAUCACGGUCCGAAUUCGCAAUAAUAACACACAGUGAAACCGUAGCUACGGCUUUGAUUAAAGGAGUCGAUUCAGUGAUUCAUAAUGGCCGUCAGUGCGGAGUGAACGCGCGCGCGCAGAAGACACGAGUGAGAGAUGAACAUGGAGGACAGAAGGGAAGAGAAACACACCAUGGCGUCUUCUCGAAGUGUCAUCGUCACUUAUUAUGAAGGGGACAUUAACACGGUGGUGGAUGAACACUUCUUCCGAGCUUUGAGUAAAAACAGUACUCCCAAAGACCUCAGCGUUAAACACCACGAGAGACAACCACCAUAUAACACUGAUUCUCAGACUCCUCCCUCGUGGCCUACAUCAUGGUCCAGGAGGAGUGUGUGUUCUCCAAAUCACACAAACCACAUGGCCCCAUGUUUCUCUGCUGAGGAAGCAGUUCGGUCUUCAUCAGUGAUCGUGAGUCGGCCUGAAACUCCUGCUUCCUGGAGUUUACCCCAAAACUACAUGCUAACACCGUUCUCUCAUCAACCAUCUGCAGCUCCAUCAUACCACCCUCCGGAAUGAGGUGUGUGGACAUCUGAGAACAGCAAGGAUUUAUGCUGGUAUUGACAUCGUCAUACCCACAAUACACCACACCCCCACAUUACCAUGCCCACAAAUACACCACACCCCCACAUUACCAUGCCCACAAAUACACCACACCCCCACACUACCAUGCCCACAAAUACACCACACCCCCACACUACCAUGCCCACAAAUACACCACACCCCCACACUACCACGCCCACAAAUACACCACACCCCCACACUACCAC